rnacentral:rRNA from 1 species
CAGAAGCGGGGGAUAACACCUGGAAACAGAUGCUAAUACCGCAUAACAACUUGGACCGCAUGGUCCGAGUUUGAAAGAUGGCUUCGGCUAUCACUUUUGGAUGGUCCCGCGGCGUAUUAGCUAGAUGGUGGGGUAACGGCUCACCAUGGCAAUGAUACGUAGCCGACCUGAGAGGGUAAUCGGCCACAUUGGGACUGAGACACGGCCCAAACUCCUACGGGAGGCAGCAGUAGGGAAUCUUCCACAAUGGACGAAAGUCUGAUGGAGCAACGCCGCGUGAGUGAAGAAGGGUUUCGGCUCGUAAAACUCUGUUGUUAAAGAAGAACAUAUCUGAGAGUAACUGUUCAGGUAUUGACGGUAUUUAACCAGAAAGCCACGGCUAACUACGUGCCAGCAGCCGCGGUAAUACGUAGGUGGCAAGCGUUGUCCGGAUUUAUUGGGCGUAAAGCGAGCGCA